rnacentral:rRNA from 1 species
AUGUCCCCGGUGUCGUCAACCACCUCCUCCUCCUCUGCUUUGAGCAGGAGGACAAGAAGCGCCCGAUCCGCCUCGUUCUCUCGUCAACGCCCGCGCGUGGCCUCUGUGCCCGUUGACCUGGCCUCGUGGGCCUCGCCCCGGCCCAGCAGCGCCCCGCCAGCCUCUCCACCGAACCGGCCUGUUAGGCCCAAUGGUGAGAACACCACAACCCAGCGCCCAGCCAGUUUCGGCCUGCUACGUUUUUUCCUGUUAUGUGAAUUUCCUAAUUUCCACAAAAUUGGCAGUUUUACAGAAAAGCCCUUCAAGUCCAUGCAUUUAAUAACUAUAUAA